ensembl:lncRNA
GGGGGGGGUUGCUCUGUACCUCAGCCAGAAUGAGAUGAGAUGUCAGAAAUGUAAAGUGAAAAUGUCUGUAGGUAAUCCAAGGGACAACCCACACGAAUCACAACACGUACGCCUACAGCUCCAGGAUUAGAAUAAACAUUUAUAUUUAAAUCCGGCAGAGGGGGUGGUAUAUGGAAGUAGAUGGUAUACUAUCGGACUAGGUGACGUUAUAAAUUGAUAGGGGAUGUGUCGUCUACUUAAUGUUUAUUUUGAAUCACAAAUGUUUAUAUACAGUUGUUUACAUAAACUUUAAAUUCCUGCCUGGACUGUGAUGUAAUUUAUCAUUGCUGCUAUAGAUGAUCUUGGACUAUUGUUUUCUGUGUAUCCCAUAUGCUUGAAAUGUUUUCCUUCGCUGCUGUACCAAAAACGGCCCCUAGGAGGACGUUAACGUUUUCUAACGUUAAUGUCUCACACAGGAUCAUGGUGUCAUCUCAAAGGAAUGGUUUAAACUUGUGGAAAAAACAUGAGCAACGUGUCUAGAACCUGACAACAUGCUUACCUUGUCCUAGUUUCCACCAAAUGUAGACUAUCAAUUGACACAGUAGCAGGCAGACAGAUACAAACAGCACAAGGCCUAGAAAAGCGAAGGGCAUAGAGCCGUCUGUCUGGCCGACUGUUUGUCUGAGCAGUAGGGUCAGAUCGACCAGUGGACCACUCAGCACCUUCAUGCUUUGCCUGAUGAGAAAGUAAAAAAAAAAGCUGUGAUUUAGUAGUAGGAGUGAGAGUGAGGGAGAGAGGAACACACAGCACAGAUCUCCUUUCCUGUUUUAUUGGACACAAUAUACUAGAUGAGCCGGUAAACAUGCUAGUAAAAAAAUACACGUCAGUUUGAAUUCAUUAAAUAAAGUGAAAAACAUGAAAGGAUAGAUGAUGAAAAAGCAGGAGAGAAAAUCAAUAGUGGUGGAAAGACGAAAAGGAUGAGAAUCAGAGGAAGAGCGAGAGAGGAUGAUGAAAAGGACGAGUGUUUUGAUGUUAUUUGGUAAACAAAAUUUGAUAAAAAUAGAGUAAAAAGUUCCCCACCAAACUUUAGAGGGUUUAGAGGGCCGAGACUAAUGCUUGGGUGGAAAUACAAUUCUAAAAGUGUACUCCUAAUAGCUUGUUUCGGCUUGCUACAGCUAAAAGCAAAAAUAACGUCCUAGCUGGUUUUCAGAUGAGGUUAUAUGGAAAGUGACUCGACAAAAAGGCUCAGAAAGCUUCCAAAUAUCCUGCGGGUAGUCAGAAGGAAAACGGAUUUAAAAGCAAUGUCAACUUACCUUCUCUGACGCUGGUCAGUUGCAGGUUAUCAAAGGUGAUUUAAAAAAAGCUUGUAUUGCAGAUGGUGCACAAAUGUCCUCAGCUUACUUCAUCCGCCUUUGAAACGAUGAAAUCAUCCACUCUUUGAUUUGAAUUCACUCAGGAUUUCAAUGUGAGGUUAUUGACCGUGACUCUAGCACAUGAGAGCACAAUCUAGUCUAUGAGUCAGGUUCUAAUAAACUGUUGAAAGCAGCCUUCAUCUUCCAUUCUCCCGGUGAAAGUCCAACAGGUUGAGUUUCAGUGCUCGGGGCGGCCAAAAUCAGCAACCAAAUACCCCAAAUAGUAAUUAACCUCCAUGGAACACUGGAGGGUAAAACAGUACAACCCUUAUGCCUCUUUCUCUUUCAAUCCAGAAGUGAGUGUUCAACCCCUGUGUCGUUCUGGGGCGUAAUCAAGAAAGUGUCUCUGUCUUUUCACUCGCUAAGUUGUGUCUGUGUGGUUUCUCUCUGAUAGAAACACAACAGUGGCUCUGGCUGGUCGAUUUAAAUGACCUUUGUUCUCUUACAACAGUUCAACCUUGUGAUUGCUAAGAAGAUUAACACACAC